UGGCUCUCGCAUCGAUGAAGAACGCAGCGAAAUGCGAUAAGUAAUGUGAAUUGCAGAAUUCAGUGAAUCAUCGAAUCUUUGAACGCACCUUGCGCUCCUUGGCAUUCCGAGGAGCAUGCCUGUUUGAGUGUCAUUAAAUUAUCAACCAUACCUGCUUUCACAAGUUUUGGUAAUGGCUUGGAUGUGGGGGAUCUAUUGCUGGCUUCGUCGAGAAGUUUGCUCCCCUCAAAUGUAUUAGCCGGUGCCCCGUGUGGAAUCGUCUAAUGGUGUGAUAAUUAUUUACGCCCUAGAUGUCCGCUUUAAUGGGUUGUGCUGCUUCCAAUCGUCUAUUAAGUUGGACAACUAAUGACAAUUUGACCUCAAAUCAGGUAGGACUACCCGCUGA
rnacentral:misc_RNA from 1 species